rnacentral:rRNA from 1 species
CCUACGGGGAGCAGCAGUGAGGAAUAUUGGUCAAUGGACGAGAGUCUGAACCAGCCAAGUAGCGUGAAGGAUGACUGCCCUAUGGGUUGUAAACUUCUUUUAUAUGGGAAUAAAACAGGGUAUGCAUACCCUCUUGUAUGUACCAUAUGAAUAAGGAUCGGCUAACUCCGUGCCAGCAGCCGCGGUAAUACGGAGGAUCCGAGCGUUAUCCGGAUUUAUUGGGUUUAAAGGGAGCGUAGGUGGAUUGUUAAGUCAGUUGUGAAAGUUUGCGGCUCAACCGUAAAAUUGCAGUUGAAACUGGCAGUCUUGAGUACAGUAGAGGUGGGCGGAAUUCGUGGUGUAGCGGUGAAAUGCUUAGAUAUCACGAAGAACUCCGAUUGCGAAGGCAGCUUACUAGACUGCAACUGACACUGAUGCUCGAAAGUGUGGGUAUCAAACAGGAUUAGAUACCCGGGUAGUC